GGGGAAUAUUGCGCAAUGGGGGAAACCCUGACGCAGCAACGCCGCGUGAGUGAAGAAGGCUUUCGAGUCGUAAAACUCUGUCUUCAGGGAAGAAAAAUGACGGUACCUGAGGAGGAAGCCCCGGCUAACUACGUGCCAGCAGCCGCGGUAAUACGUAGGGGGCAAGCGUUGUCCGGAAUCACUGGGCGUAAAGGGCGCGUAGGCGGUAUAUUAAGUCAGGUGUGAAAGUUUUCGGCUCAACCGGAAAAGUGCACUUGAAACUAAUUUACUUGAGUACUGGAGAGGUAAGCGGAAUUCCUAGUGUAGCGGUGAAAUGCGUAGAUAUUAGGAAGAACACCGGUGGCGAAGGCGGCUUACUGGACAGAGACUGACGCUGAGGCGCGAAAGCGUGGGGAGCAAAC
rnacentral:rRNA from 1 species